AAUCAACGCUGGCGGCGUGCCUCAGACAUGCAAGUCGAACGAUUAAAGCUCUCUUCGGAGAGUGCAUAAAGUGGCGCACGGGUGAGUAACACGUAAGUAAUCUGCCCUCGAGUGGGGAAUAACGUCCGGAAACGGACGCUAAUACCGCAUAACGCAGCGGCACCGCAAGGUGACAGUUGUUAAAGGAGCAAUCCGCUUGAGGAGGAGCUUGCGGCAGAUUAGCUUGUUGGUAGGGUAACGGCCUACCAAGGCUACGAUCUGUAACCGGUCUAAGAGGACGGUCGGUCACACUGACACUGAAUAACGGGUCAGACUCCUACGGGAGGCAGCAGUCGGGAAUUUUGGGCAAUGGGGGAAACCCUGACCCAGCGACGCCGCGUGAAGGAUGAAGUAUUUCGGUAUGUAAACUUCGAAAGAAUAGGAAGAAUUAAUGACGGUACUAUUUAUAAGGUCCGGCUAACUACGUGCCAGCCGCCGCCGUAACAC
rnacentral:rRNA from 1 species